ensembl:lncRNA
CGGAGCCCGGCACUUACCUGGCGCUGCCUCCCGGCCGCUCCGGCGGUCCCGCGCCGCGCGCCCGAUCACCACGGGGUGUUUUGGGGUUGUUUGUUUUUUUUUUUAGAAAGCCCAGAAGCGAAGCGUCCCUUCCUCCAGGUAUGUAUAUAAGUUACUGUACUGUGUGGGAGGGUCACGAUCUCGCUAGGUGCAGAAGAUUCCCCGGGAUUAACCCCUCCUCUCCCUUCCCCUCCUGCAACUUGUUGAGGAUGGCACCGCGCGCGCACGCGGAGCGGCACACGGCCGCACGCACACACACGCGGAGCGCGGCGCGGGAGCGGUCCGGUGCCCCCGACGGCGCGGUGAUUGGCCGCGCUGCUCGUGGAGAAGGGGACGUCUCAAGUCGAAGUCUACGAUUUCUCCUCAGUUUGGAACCAUCUGUGACUGGAGCCAUGACGCAGCCAGAGCACAUUACUCACUUUUACAGUCACGACUUGGAAAUCCGUGCAGUUUCCAACCAAAAUUACACCGCCACCAUUGAAUUAUUUAAUAGGAUCCAGUUAAGGAGCCACCGCUUCCGAGUUCCGACGAUUGGCUGCACGUGCUGCAAGGGCUUUUUUUCCUUUAAACCCCGACCAAACAAACCGGGGACGGGUCCGUUUGUAAAUACGACCACGCGCGCUCGGGAAAGGGACGCUUCGGUUCCUACAUUCGGGGCGUCCGUGGGCGGAGUGCCGCGGUGCGGCUCCGCGGGGCUCGGCGCGAGGAGCGGCGCUUUGUGUGCCCGCGGCCGCGGCCGCAGCGCGGCAUUGUCUGCGGGAUCCGCCGGCGGUGCCGGGCUUUGUGCGGUAGGUGCACCAUUUUCUAAGCUCGCUCGUACCGCGAGGCGACGGCUGAGCGCGCUCGGCGGGAGCCGCCGCCGCGGCUAUUGUCUGCCCGUACCUCUCCCACCCCCGCAGGGCUCCGGCCGCGGCGGAGCCCCCUCCCUCCUCGGCGG